rnacentral:rRNA from 1 species
UACAGAGGGGGCAAGCGUUGUUCGGAAUUACUGGGCGUAAAGGGCUCGUAGGCGGCCAACUAAGUCAGACGUGAAAUCCCUCGGCUUAACCGGGGAACUGCGUCUGAUACUGGAUGGCUUGAGUUUGGGAGAGGGAUGCGGAAUUCCAGGUGUAGCGGUGAAAUGCGUAGAUAUCUGGAGGAACACCGGUGGCGAAGGCGGCAUCCUGGACCGGUAUUGACGCUGAGGCGCGAAAGCCAGGGGAGCAAACGGG